rnacentral:rRNA from 1 species
GGCGAACGCCGGCGGCGUGCUUAACACAUGCAAGUCGAACGGAAAGGCCCUGCUUUUGUGGGGUGCUCGAGUGGCGAACGGGUGAGUAACACGUGAGUAACCUGCCCUUGACUUUGGGAUAACUUCAGGAAACUGGGGCUAAUACCGGAUAGGAGCUCCUGCUGCAUGGUGGGGGUUGGAAAGUUUCGGCGGUUGGGGAUGGACUCGCGGCUUAUCAGCUUGUUGGUGGGGUAGUGGCUUACCAAGGCUUUGACGGGUAGCCGGCCUGAGAGGGUGACCGGCCACAUUGGGACUGAGAUACGGCCCAGACUCCUACGGGAGGCAGCAGUGGGGAAUAUUGCACAAUGGGCGGAAGCCUGAUGCAGCAACGCCGCGUGCGGGAUGACGGCCUUCGGGUUGUAAACCGCUUUCGCCUGUGACGAAGCGUGAGUGACGGUAAUGGGUAAAGAAGCACCGGCUAACUACGUG